rnacentral:rRNA from 2 species
UAGAGUUUGAUCCUGGCUCAGGACGAACGCUGGCGGCGUGCCUAAUACAUGCAAGUCGAACGAACUCUGGUAUUGAUUGGUGCUUGCAUCAUGAUUUACAUUUGAGUGAGUGGCGAACUGGUGAGUAACACGUGGGAAACCUGCCCAGAAGCGGGGGAUAACACCUGGAAACAGAUGCUAAUACCGCAUAACAACUUGGACCGCAUGGUCCGAGUUUGAAAGAUGGCUUCGGCUAUCACUUUUGGAUGGUCCCGCGGCGUAUUAGCUAGAUGGUGGGGUAACGGCUCACCAUGGCAAUGAUACGUAGCCGACCUGAGAGGGUAAUCGGCCACAUUGGGACUGAGACACGGCCCAAACUCCUACGGGAGGCAGCAGUAGGGAAUCUUCCACAAUGGACGAAAGUCUGAUGGAGCAACGCCGCGUGAGUGAAGAAGGGUUUCGGCUCGUAAAACUCUGUUGUUAAAGAAGAACAUAUCUGAGAGUAACUGUUCAGGUAUUGACGGUAUUUAACCAGAAAGCCACGGCUAACUACGUGCCAGCAGCCGCGGUAAUACGUAGGUGGCAAGCGUUGUCCGGAUUUAUUGGGCGUAAAGCGAGCGCAGGCGGUUUUUUAAGUCUGAUGUGAAAGCCUUCGGCUCAACCGAAGAAGUGCAUCGGAAACUGGGAAACUUGAGUGCAGAAGAGGACAGUGGAACUCCAUGUGUAGCGGUGAAAUGCGUAGAUAUAUGGAAGAACACCAGUGGCGAAGGCGGCUGUCUGGUCUGUAACUGACGCUGAGGCUCGAAAGUAUGGGUAGCAAACAGGAUUAGAUACCCUGGUAGUCCAUACCGUAAACGAUGAAUGCUAAGUGUUGGAGGGUUUCCGCCCUUCAGUGCUGCAGCUAACGCAUUAAGCAUUCCGCCUGGGGAGUACGGCCGCAAGGCUGAAACUCAAAGGAAUUGACGGGGGCCCGCACAAGCGGUGGAGCAUGUGGUUUAAUUCGAAGCUACGCGAAGAACCUUACCAGGUCUUGACAUACUAUGCAAAUCUAAGAGAUUAGACGUUCCCUUCGGGGACAUGGAUACAGGUGGUGCAUGGUUGUCGUCAGCUCGUGUCGUGAGAUGUUGGGUUAAGUCCCGCAACGAGCGCAACCCUUAUUAUCAGUUGCCAGCAUUAAGUUGGGCACUCUGGUGAGACUGCCGGUGACAAACCGGAGGAAGGUGGGGAUGACGUCAAAUCAUCAUGCCCCUUAUGACCUGGGCUACACACGUGCUACAAUGGAUGGUACAACGAGUUGCGAACUCGCGAGAGUAAGCUAAUCUCUUAAAGCCAUUCUCAGUUCGGAUUGUAGGCUGCAACUCGCCUACAUGAAGUCGGAAUCGCUAGUAAUCGCGGAUCAGCAUGCCGCGGUGAAUACGUUCCCGGGCCUUGUACACACCGCCCGUCACACCAUGAGAGUUUGUAACACCCAAAGUCGGUGGGGUAACCUUUUAGGAACCAGCCGCCUAAGGUGGGACAAAUGAUUAGGGUGAAGUCGUAACAAGGUAA